rnacentral:lncRNA from 1 species
AGUUUUAACACAAUCUUUUCUUUCAAUUCACAACAAAUAGAAUAAUUCUUUAAAAUAUUUCAUUCAGACGUAAUAGCAAAUAUUCUCACUAAGCUAUUUUUUUUUUUUUUUGUAGACGGUGUUAUUGUGUUUUUUAUUAGUUAUUUAUGUUUCUUAAGAAAUGUUGAAGGUUAUUUGUAGUAAUGAUUGUGUGGCUUUAAUUUAUGCAUUAUCUUUUUCUUUCUUUUUUUGAGGGAAAAUUUAUGCAUUAUCUAAUUUAAUCGUUUCAUUCGAAAUUGAUGAUCUCGUAAUUGAUCAUAUUAAAUUAAAAAUAUUCAGCUUAAAAGAGAGAGAUCUUUGAUGUUGAUAAGUUGUUGGGCUUACUGUCCCAUCUUUGGGCCUCUUGGCGAAAGUAUUUUGGGCUUAAUUCUGAAUGGAUAAAUGGAGCCCAAUCACUGCA